rnacentral:tRNA from 1 species
UCUCUGGUGGUCCAGUGGUUAAGAUUCUGUGCUCUCAAUACAGGGGCCCAGGUUUGAUCCCUGAUGAGGGAA